AUUGAACGCUGGCGGCAUGCCUUACACAUGCAAGUCGAACGGCAGCACGGGAGCAAUCCUGGUGGCGAGUGGCGAACGGGUGAGUAAUAUAUCGGAACGUGCCCGGUCGUGGGGAUAACGUAGCGAAAGCUACGCUAAUACCGCAUACGAUCUACGGAUGAAAGCGGGGGAUCGCAAGACCUCGCGCGAUUGGAGCGGCCGAUAUCAGAUUAGGUAGUUGGUGAGGUAAAGGCUCACCAAGCCGACGAUCUGUAGCUGGUCUGAGAGGACGACCAGCCACACUGGGACUGAGACACGGCCCAGACUCCUACGGAGGCAGCAGUGGGAAUUUUGGACAAUGGGCGCAAGCCUGAUCCAGCAAUGCCGCGUGCAGGAUGAAGGCCU
rnacentral:rRNA from 1 species